AGUGAACGCUGGCGGUAGGCCUAACACAUGCAAGUCGAACGGCAGCACAGUAAGAGCUUGCUCUUACGGGUGGCGAGUGGCGGACGGGUGAGGAAUACAUCGGAAUCUACUUUUUCGUGGGGGAUAACGUAGGGAAACUUACGCUAAUACCGCAUACGACCUACGGGUGAAAGCAGGGGAUCUUCGGACCUUGCGCGAUUGAAUGAGCCGAUGUCGGAUUAGCUAGUUGGCGGGGUAAAGGCCCACCAAGGCGACGAUCCGUAGCUGGUCUGAGAGGAUGAUCGGCCACACUGGAACUGAGACACGGCCCAGACCCCUACGGGGGGCACCAGUGGGGAAUAUUGAAAAAGGGGCGCAAGCCUUAUCCAGCCAUACCGGGGGGGUGAAGAAGGCCUUCGGGUUGUAAAGCCCUUUUGUUGGGAAAAAAAAGCAGCAGGUUAAUACCCCGCUGUUCUGACGGUACCCAAAGAAAAAGCACCGGCAAACUUCGU
rnacentral:rRNA from 1 species